GGAUAACGGGGAGGAAGGUGGGGANGACGUCAAGUCCUCAUGGCCUUUAUGUCCAGGGNUACACACGUGNUACAAUGGCCGGUACAAACCGCUGCAAACCCGUGAGGGGGAGCUAAUCGGAAAAAGCCGGCCUCAGUUCGGAUUGGAGUCUGCAACUCGACUCCAUGAAGCUGGAAUCGCUAGUAAUCGCGGAUCAGCAUGCCGCGGUGAAUACGUUUCCCGGGCCUUGUACACACCGCCCGUCACAUCACGAAAGUGGGUUG
rnacentral:rRNA from 1 species